AGAGUUUGAUCCUGGCUCAGAUUGAACGCUGGCGGCAUGCCUUACACAUGCAAGUCGAACGGCAGCACGGGGGCAAUCCUGGUGGCGAGUGGCGAACGGGUGAGUAAUAUAUCGGAACGUGCCCAGUCGUGGGGGAUAACGCAGCGAAAGCUGUGCUAAUACCGCAUACGAUCUCUGGAUGAAAGCGGGGGACUCAGCAAUGAGCCUCGCGCGAUUGGAGCGGCCGAUCUCAGAUUAGCUAGUUGGUGGGGUAAAAGCUCACCAAGGCGACGAUCUGUAGCUGGUCUGAGAGGACGACCAGCCACACUGGAACUGAGACACGGUCCAGACUCCUACGGGAGGCAGCAGUGGGGAAUUUUGGACAAUGGGCGCAAGCCUGAUCCAGCAAUGCCGCGUGCAGGAUGAAGGCCUUCGGGUUGUAAACUGCUUUUGUACGGAACGAAACGGCUCCUUUUAAUACGGGGGGCUAAUGACGGUACCGUAAGAAUAAGCACCGGCUAACUACGUGCCAGCAGCCGCGGUAAUACGUAGGGUGCGAGCGUUAAUCGGAAUUACUGGGCGUAAAGCGUGCGCAGGCGGUGAUGUAAGACAGAUGUGAAAUCCCCGGGCUCAACCUGGGACCUGCAUUUGUGACUGCAUCGCUAGAGUACGGUAGAGGGGGAUGGAAUUCCGCGUGUAGCAGUGAAAUGCGUAGAUAUGCGGAGGAACACCGAUGGCGAAGGCAGCCCCCUGGGAUAAUACUGACGCUCAUGCACGAAAGCGUGGGGAGCAAACAGGAUUAGAUACCCUGGUAGUCCACGCCCUAAACGAUGUCAACUAGCUGUUGGGGCCUUCGGGCCUUAGUAGCGCAGCUAACGCGUGAAGUUGACCGCCUGGGGAGUACGGUCGCAAGAUUAAAACUCAAAGGAAUUGACGG
rnacentral:rRNA from 1 species